UGCGUAGGCGGACUAAUAAGUCAGUGGUGAAAUCUCUCGGCUCAACCGGGAAACUGCCAUUGAUACUGUUAGUCUUGAGUUCGGUUGAGGUAGGCGGAAUGUGUAAUGUAGCGGUGAAAUGCUUAGAUAUUACACAGAACACCAAUUGCGUAGGCAGCUUACUAGACCGUCACUGACGCUGAGGCACGAAAGCGUGGGUAGCGAACAGGAUUAGAUACCCUGGUAGUCC
rnacentral:rRNA from 1 species